rnacentral:tRNA from 2 species
AACCCCGUCCGGGGGACUAAAGGGGUGUCGGGCCUGCCUUUUUCUGGUGGGCCGGUAGCUCAGCCUGGUAUGAGCGCCGCCCUUGCAAGGCGGAGGCCCCGGGUUCAAAUCCCGGCCGGUCCACCACGAAGAGAUGCACGUCCCGAGCAAACGCUCGGGGCGGAAGGGCCCAAGGCCCCCUAAUAGGGG